GAGAGCUCGCGCGGGCGUACGAUUCUGGCGGCGUGGGGGCCCAGGCAGCCGCCGCUUCCAGAAGGUUCGGUGGCGGUUGGGCCGCGCCGGUGCGGGGAAGGCCCGCUAGCCGCGGCAGCCGCGCCCGACCCGGUGGCAGCCCCGAGGGAAGCGUCUGGGGCGGCCUAAGUGGCGGAGCAGGGCGGACUUGGGCCCUCACUCUCCGCGCGGCGGACAAAGCGUCACGAGGUGGGGAGGAGGAAAGGCCGGCGACUAUCUACACCGCCGCCUGCAGCUUUUACUGGGAGCGCUGAGCGCCAGCCUGGAGGUGCACGUGUUGCAGUGAGGAGCCCUGAAACAUGCGUGUUUUACUGCACAAGAUGUGCCCUUGAAUGGAGUCUAGGCCAGUCGGGGUCACCAAAAAAAAUCCACCAAAAAACACCCAAGAAGGGAGAAGCGGUCACCCCCCACGUGCUGGAAUGACAGCUUUUUACUUGCUAGGCAGUUGGACCUUUUCCGAAUUUUCUACAAUGCACAUAGAUUUGUACUUACAUCUUUAAAUUAAAACCCACGCAACUCCGGCUCCCU
rnacentral:lncRNA from 1 species